rnacentral:lncRNA from 1 species
CUUUCAGACUUGAGUGAGUAGCAUGCUUAUCAAGUUCAUACAUAUUCCCCCUGCUUCUGUCUCUAUGAACAGUUAUCUCCCACCUUUUUUUUUUUUUAAUAGCAACCCUUCCCUUAGUGGCAUUUCCAUCCCACUCUUCACUCAUGUGAAUUUCGUGGAUUCCUGCUAUCAUUAGGUUUUGUUCUCUGCUUUACGUGGCCAAGGCUAGGCCAGGACUUCCCUGGCAGUCAGGUGGUGGGGACUUUGCCUUCCAGUGUAGGGAUUCAGGUUCAGUCCCUGUUCUGGGAGCUAAGUCCCGCAUGCCUCAUGGCGAAAAACAAACACUCAAACACAGCCAUAAAACAGAGGCAAUAUUGGAACAAAUUCAACAACAACUUUAAAAACAGUCCACAUCAAAAAAAAAAAAAAUCUUUAAAAACAAAAGCAAAUAGACUGCCAGAUAUUUCUCUAGCAGAGAUGGGUUUAUUUAGCAUCAGCAGACUUGCAGUGUGAGGGUCUAUAGCCGUGAUGAGCCAACCUGCAUGUCCCCUGCACAGCAGGGGAAGGAGAACUAUCUUAUAGAUGGGAAGCGGAGGUGGGGAGGGCUUUAGUAAACAAAGAGGAGGCUGUGGCUCUUCCUUGACUGCGUCCUUGCCAGGAAAGAAGAGGAGUCCUUCUUCUUCUGUUAGGCUCUGCUGUGCUCACAGGGCAUGAGAUCUCCCCUGCUGGUCUCCCAAAUCUGUUUCAUUGAGGUUUCUGUUUAUUAAUUUUUCACAACUCACAGGGACAAGAGAUGUUUGGAGUUGUGUCAUUUCAUGGUAACGAUGUUUGGAGCUGACUGGAUUCUUUUCCUUUCACAGAUGCUUCCUGCUCAAGUCUUCCUCCAGUUACGUGAGCUCCAGAGGAGAAUCCUGGAUUUGUACAUUUGGAAGGCAGCAGGAUCAGAACUUGACCCGUGUAAUUUGACUCCGAAGCCUGUUACAUACUCUGAAUUUCUCUUCAGUCUACUCGUCAGCAGUGCGUGGAGACAGGCCUCCAUGGACCCCGUGCUACCGCUUUCUCUCCCCACCACAGAUACUAGCUGUCAGAUAUCACCAUCCUUGCAGCUUUUUGGUCAGAUCCAGGCUAAAAUGAAGCACAGACAGAAAAUGUAUACUAUUGUGCUCCACUGA